rnacentral:tRNA from 1 species
CGGCGCGGUUCUUUGGGGUCUGAUUUGGGAUCAGAGGGUCGUAGGUUCGAAUCCUAUCGCUCCGACCA